rnacentral:lncRNA from 1 species
GCUGUGAGAGAGAUGGGGGAGGAGGGAUUGGAAGGGAGUAUACAGUAGGAUGUGAGGGAGUUGGGGGAGGAUGGAUUGGGAGGGAGUAUACAGUAGGCUGUGUAGGAGAUGGGGAGAGGAAUUGGAAGGGAGUAUACAGUAGGCUGUGAGGGAGGUGGGGAGGAUGGAUUGGGAGGGAGUAUACAGUAGGCUGUGUAGGAGAUGGGGAGGAUGGAUUGGAAGGGAGUAUACAGUAGGCUGUGUAGGAGAUGGGGAGGAUGGAUUGGAAGGGAGUAUACAGCAGGCUGUGUAGGAGAUGGGGAGGAUGGAUUGGAAGGGAGUAUACAGUCGGCUGAGGGAGUUGGGGGAGGAUGGAUUGGAAGGGAGUAUACAGUAGGCUGUGUAGGAGUUGGGGGAGCAUGGAUUGGAAGGGAGUAUACAGUAGGCUGUGAGGGGGUUGUGUGGCACCCCUUGAGGAAACGUCAGACUAAGAUGGAAACAUAACACCAAACCUCACAUGAGGAGUUUCCAUAACGUUUCUCACCUUGCCAAAAAAUGCUUUACGUAUACUGUCUAGAAAUAGGAAUUUUAAAACAGCCUUUGUUAAUGAAAUUCAGUGAGAUCUCUAAAUGUCAUGUGUCUGUGUCAAUGUAGCGUUAAUAACUCUGUGGAAAGGAAUCUCCAAUAUCCGGUUAUAUUUGCAACCUUGUUGUCAGAGCGCAGAGGUAACUGCCCCGUCAUAUACGGAGUAGACACUGUGCAAAGUGUGUUCUUCCAUAAGAUCAAGACGGUAUCUUUCCACAUAAGCUUCCCUCUCUGUAAGGACCUUCUCCAAAAUAGCUGAGCCUUCUGUAAAACUGCUUGUGAAAAAAGAAUUGCAGGACGUCUCAAUUACCUGGUCCAUGCCCACUAAAUGCCAGUCAAGCAGUACCUUUCCUCAACAGUGACAGAAGCAGCAAUACCUCCCACACAUCUCCAAAAUGCCCCCUAGGCUUCCCAAGCAAUCACCUUUAGAUCCUAUCGUCACUCUGGGUGGCACAAGGUCCCAGGCCAACUUGUAGUGGAGGAAUAGGGUAUAAUUUCCCCUUGAAAUCAGCUCAAAAUGUUCUCUUGGUGCUUCUUUAUGGACUGUUUCUAGUACGUGGCUUUUCACGAUGACUGGUUCUUUCACUGUCCUUGAUUCCUGAAUUUCCUGAAUCUCCUGGAGCCUGGCAUUUGUUCUUGAUUGACAUUCGGAUGGUUCUGAACCCUCCCUGUAUCCUGGACACCAGUUUUGUUUAGGUUGGUACUCUGGUUCUCUGCAUGCCCAUUCUUGCUAAGCCGGUCAUGAUUUCCAGCUAGUUUCAGCAGCUCCCCUGUUCCCACGGCCAUUUUCACAUGAUAUCUCCCAAAGGCUUUUAAAAUGAAAACCUUUUACACUGGCUACGUUGGGUUCAUAUUAAAGCAAUCCUUUCCCUUACUCAAGGAAGUAAUAAUUAUAUAGGCCAAAUUAAUAAACCCUCUUGUGCAAGUUUUAUAUAUGCCAACAACUAUAAAAACACUUUUUACAAAACUGACAUUAACUAGUACAAUCAUUAUAAUGUAGCUAACAUUAAUUCAUCGUAUCUAAAACCCUUAAGCAUCUUCCAUAACCUGUUUUUUCGACUCCACUUCUUCCUGCAUUCCCAGAGCUGGAUCUUCAGCUGCCACGCUUCUUCCUCGUGUACAACAGUAGUUCUUAAUCUGUUUUGAGUCUGGACCCCUUGGAGGAGCUGAAGAACUCUACACAGAUCCUUUCC